rnacentral:rRNA from 1 species
CCCUACGGGGCGCAGCAGUCGCGAAAACUUUGCAAUACACGAAAGUGUGACAGGGUCAUCCCGAGUGCCGACCGCUGAGGUUGGCUUUUACCCAGUCUAGAAAGCUGGGGGAAUAAGGAGAGGGCAAGUCUGGUGUCAGCCGCCGCGGUAAUACCAGCUCUCCGAGUGGUGUGGACGUUUAUUGGGCCUAAAGCAUCCGUAGCUGGCUGAACAAGUCCCCUGUUAAACCCACCGAUUUAAUCGUUGGUCUGCGGGGGAUACUGCUCGGCUAGGGGACGAGAGAGGCAGACGGUAUUCCCGGGGUAGGGGUGAAAUCCUAUAAUCCCGAGAAGACCACCAGUGGCGAAGGCUGUCUGCUAGAACGCGCCCGACGGUGAGGGAUGAAAGCUGGGGGAGCGAACCGGAUUAGAUACCCUGGU